AGCUUUGUGCAGGGGCAGUAUCAUGGCCCUUGAAGAUGAUCUGAGACACGAUUAUUACUAAUUGAAAACUUUUCCCAAAAAGG
rnacentral:snRNA from 1 species